GGCGGGAGGGCGGUGAAUACAAUACCCUUUGCGGGGGAAUAAACCCGCCUGUCUUCGUCAGGUUUCGAACCUCCCGCUCGCCAGUG
rfam:Pseudovibrio sp. FO-BEG1, complete genome.